AUGCAUACACCAGAUCCAUUUGUAGUUCCGCGUGAGUUCUCAGACGAGAACACAGAUCAAUCCACCAUGGCGGAGGGCGUUGUGGCGUUGCUGAUUGCCAAGCUCGGUUUUGCCUUGGCAAAAGAGGCGGCAACCUUCGGCGCAUCACUGCUGUGCAAGGAAGCAUCUGCCCUCAAGGGUCUCUUUGGUGAGAUCCGUGAGGCCAAGGAGGAGCUGGAGAGCAUGCAGGCUUAUCUCCAGGGGGCGGAGCGGUUCAAGGACACCGACGAGACCACCGGCAUCUAUGUCAACAAGGUUAGGGGCUUCUCCUUUGAGAUCGAGGAUGUGGUCGACGAGUUCACAUACAAGCUGGAAGACACUCAUGGGGGAUUUGCUGCGAAGAUGAAGAAGAGGGUCAAGCACAUCAAGGCAUGGCGCCGUUUGACAAUCAAGCUCCAAGAUAUCAAGGGCAGGCUUCAGAGUGCGGACAGGAGAAAGGUCCGCUACGACAUGAAAGGGGUUGAGGGAGAGGGCUUGAAGAGUGGUCACUCUGAAUCUGCUGGUCAUUCACUGAAUCUUGCGAGGGAAGAGGAUCUUGUGGGCAUUAAAGAGAACAAGGACAAGCUGAUGCACUGGCUGGUGGGUGAUUUGGAGGAACAGGGGAGCAAAAGUGCAACUGUUUGGGGAAUGGGAGGUGUGGGUAAGACCACUUUGGUUGAUCAUGUGUACAAGGCCGUGAAGAUGGACUUUGCUAAAUGUGCGUGGAUAACAGUAUCAAGUAGCUAUCAUGUUGAAGACUUGUUGAAACAGAUCGCCAGUCAAUUGGGCAUCCCAAUUGCCAACGCAAACGAAAACAGAAGCUUGGUUGAGGUAAUCCAUAAUCAUCUCAAGGGUUCAAACUAUCUCGUAAUUCUGGAUGACGUUUGGAAUGUGGAUGUCUGGUUUAAGAUUAGGAAUGCAUUUCCUACAGAAAGCACUGGUCGAUUUGUUAUCACCACUAGAAUGCAGGAGGUAGCAUUGCUGGCAACAAAAACCUGUACAAUCAAACUCGAACCAUUGGAAAGAGAUUAUGCGUGGCAGCUAUUUUGCAAUGAAGCCUUUUGGAACAAUGAGAACAAAACAUGCCCAGAGGAACUAGAAGAUUUGGGUAAAAUGUUUCUGGACAAGUGUGGUGGCUUGCCCAUUGCAAUUGCUUGUGUAGGCCGCUUGUUGUCAUGCAGAGAUCCAACUUACUAUCAAUGGGAAAGUGUAUACAAGGAGUUAGAGUCACAGCUCAGCAACAAUGUGAUCCUCGAUGUUAACAUUGUUCUGAAAGUCAGCUUGGAGAACCUUCCGACUCAUCUGAAGAACUGUUUUCUGCACUGUACAAUAUUUCCAGAGGAUUACCUGUUCGGAAGGAAACAGGUAAUCAGGCAUUGGAUCGCAGCUGGAUUCAUUAAAGAAACAGGGAGCAAAACAUUGGAGGAAGUGGCAGAGGGCUACCUGAAUGAACUUGUAAACAGAAGCCUAUUGCAGGUGGCUGCGCGGAACCUGCGUGGCCGAGUUCGCAGGUUCCGAAUGCAUGACAUCAUCCGUGUUCUUGCUCUCGCUAAAUCAGAAGAGGAAUCCUUUUGUCAAGCUUACAAUGGCUCAAGGGAUUUUUCGGCCAAGAACACGCGGCGUCUGUCAAUGCAGGGUACAAACAUGGAACAACUGACCCCCUUGUUGUGUGCACCAAGUCUCCGCUCUCUGCAUGUUUUCCAGAGUCACAUGAGGAUUGAUUUCCUAGAGGCUUUCCUCAAACCUUUGAGCUUGCUGUCAACAUUGGAUCUGCAAGGAGUUCAAAUCAAGAGACUACCCAAGAUGGUUUUCAACUUGUUCAACCUGCGUUUUCUAGGUCUUCGAGAUACUCAAAUUGAAUAUCUCCCAAAAGAAAUAGGAAGGUUACAGAACCUGGAAGUCCUUGAUGCUUUCAAUACUAUGCUAGCGUCAGUUCCAGUGGAAAUAGCCGCACUUCGGAAAUUGAAAUACCUGUAUGUGGUUACUAUUCCAGCUGGAGAUAAUGAAAGAGUUCUUGCUUAUGACGGGAUUCAGAUGCCCAAGGGUAUCGGCAAUUUGACCGACUUGCUGGCCCUGCAACAUGUUGAAGCUAGCAGUCAGGUGCUAAGUCAGUUAGGAUGUUUAACCAAUUUAAGAACUUUUGGUAUCAGUAAAGUCAGGAGUGGUCAUUGUGCAGAUUUGUGUGGGGCGAUCACGAAAAUGGUUAAUCUUGUUCGUGUAGGAAUCAUUGCACUUGAUCAAAGGGAAGUCUUGCAGCUAGAAGCACUUUGCUUACCACCAACUAUUUCGAAAGUUGACAUUGUAGCGCAGCUGGACAAAAGAUUUCUAACUCAGUUCGUCUCAUCCAGUUCAAAGCUUGUUAACCUCACUGAUUUAACUUUGUGUUGGUCCAAAUUAUACGAAGACUCUUUUGGGUGUCUCUUGGGUUUGCAUGGCUUAGUUACACUUCACCUUUGUAAGGCUUAUGAUGGAAAGGGGCUACACUUCCAUGCAACAUCACUUCCAAAACUCAAGUUACUAGGCAUAUGGGAUGCUCCGCAUCUCAGUAGAGUUACAAUUGAACAAGGUGCGAUGCAAAACAUUGACGAACUACUUCUCAGGGACUGUCCAGAAUUGAAGGAUCUUCCUGAUGGCAUUGAGCAUCUUAGAACCCUCGACUACCUGAAGCUGGAGGAUAUUUCUGAAGAGCUGACAGGGAAGCUUCAGCAAAAUGAGGAAUCAAAGGAAUGCGACGAAGAUUGGAUGAAAAUUAGCCAUGUGAGAUGGGUUGAUGUACUUUAG
rnacentral:rRNA from 1 species